ACAGCCAAGAAGGAUGAAGAAAGGUUUCCCGAGGCCUUGGGGUGAGCAGUGAGGAUGGUAUGAUGAAGAAAGAAUGUGCUGGAGAUCCCUGGCUUCAUCUCCUACCUCUCCUACUGGUCACAGAGUGUCCCUGAGGAGAUGCACUGACAGAAGGCUGAGGUUUCAGCAACAUGCUGUCCCUACAGGCUUUGAAAAAAUAAGGGACAAAGUAGAGAAGAAUGACCUUCUUAGCUUCUCCACCAAAGGAGUGCCUACAAGAGCUGGGCUGCUGUUUGGCAGCAGAAAACCCACACGGACGAGACCCUCCUCAGGCCUCAUUGCUUCUGCUCCAUAGGGACUCGCUCAGCUUAUGUGGAGGUGAAUUGGG